rnacentral:rRNA from 1 species
UUCCGGUUGAUCCUGCCGGACCCGACUGCUAUCAGAGUGAGAUUAAGCCAUGCGAGUUAACGUAGCAAUACGUGGCGCACGGCUCAGUAACACGUAGUCAACAUGCCCAGAGGACGUGGAUAACCUCGGGAAACUGAGGAUAAACCGCGAUAAGUCACUACUUCUGGAAUGGGUAAUGACUCAAACCUACAUGGCCCCUGGAUUGGACUGCGGCCGAUCAGGCUGUUGGUGAGGUAAUGGCCCACCAAACCUGUAACCGGUACGGGCUCUGAGAGGAGGAGCCCGGAGAUGGGCACUGAGACAAGGGCCCAGGCCCUAUGGGGCGCAGCAGGCGCGAAACCUCUGCAAUAGGCGAAAGCCUGACAGGGUUACUCUGAGUGAUUUCCGUUAAGGAGAUCUUUUGGCACCUCUAAAAAUGGUGCAGAAUAAGGGGUGGGCAAGUCUGGUGUCAGCCGCCGCGGUAAUACCAGCACCCCGAGUGGUCGGGACGUUUAUUGGGCCUAAAGCAUCCGUAGCCGGUUCUGCAAGUCUUCCGUUAAAUCCACCUGCUUAACAGAUGGGCCGCGGAAGAUACUAUAGAGCUAGGAGGCGGGAGAGGCAAGCGGUACUCGAUGGGUAGGGGUAAAAUCCGUUGAUCCAUUGAAGACCACCAGUGGCGAAGGCGGCUUGCCAGAACGCGCUCGACGGUGAGGGAUGAAAGCUGGGGGAGCAAACCGGAUUAGAUUCCCGGGUAGUCCCAG